rnacentral:rRNA from 1 species
GCAUAUCAAUAAGCGGAGGAAAAGAAACUAACAAGGAUUCCCCUAGUAGCGGCGAGCGAAGCGGGAAGAGCUCAAAUUUGUAAUCUGGCACCUUCGGUGUCCGAGUUGUAAUCUCGAGAAGUGUUUUCCGCGCUAGACCGCAUACAAGUCUGUUGGAAUACAGCGUCAUAGGUGGUGACAACCCCGUACAUGAUGCGGAUGCCUAGUGCUCUGUGAUACACUUUCGAAGAGUCGAGUUGUUUGGGAAUGCAGCUCAAAUUGGGUGGUAAAUUCCAUCUAAAGCUAAAUAUUGGCGAGAGACCGAUAGCGAACAAGUACCGUGAGGGAAAGAUGAAAAGCACUUUGGAAAGAGAGUUAAAAGUACGUGAAAUUGUUGAAAGGGAAACGCUUGAAGUCAGACUUGCGUACUGGAGUUCAGCCGUAAGGUGUAUUCUUCAGUUUGCAGGCCAGCAUCAGUUUUCGGGGGUACAAAAGGGUGAGAGGAAGGUAGCAGCUCCGGCUGUGUUAUAGACUCUCACUGGAUGUAUCCUUGGGGACUGAGGAACGCAGCGCACUUUUUGCAAGUCCUUUGGGUCUUUCUGCGCUUAGGAUGCUGGUAGAAUGGCUUUAAACGACCCGUCUUGAAACACGGACCAAGGAGUCUAACAUGCUUGCGAGUAUUUGGGUGUCAAACCCGGAUGCGUAAUGAAAGUGAAUGGAGGUGGGAACCGCAAGGUGCACCAUCGACCGAUCUGGAUUUUCUAAGAUGGAUUUGAGUAAGAGCACGUAUGUUGGGACCCGAAAGAUGGUGAACUAUGCCUGAAUAGGGCGAAGCCAGAGGAAACUCUGGUGGAGGCUCGUAGCGGUUCUGACGUGCAAAUCGAUCGUCAAAUUUGGGUAUAGGGGCGAAAGACUAAUCGAACCAUCUAGUAGCUGGUUCUGCCGA